UUUGUUAACACUUAUACUUCCUAUCUAAAUUGAAAGUUCAGGUUCCCCUACUUUUUUUUAGGAGUAUGCAUAGGUCAAUUUACUUAUAAUAGUUUUG